rnacentral:rRNA from 1 species
CCUACGGGUGGCAGCAGUGGGGAAUAUUGGGCAAUGGGCGCAAGCCUGACCCAGCAACGCCGCGUGAAGGAAGAAGGCUUUCGGGUUGUAAACUUCUUUUCUCAGGGACGAAGCAAGUGACGGUACCUGAGGAAUAAGCCACGGCUAACUACGUGCCAGCAGCCGCGGUAAUACGUAGGUGGCAAGCGUUAUCCGGAUUUACUGGGUGUAAAGGGCGUGUAGGCGGGAAAGCAAGUCAGAUGUGAAAACCAUGGGCUCAACCUGUGGCCUGCAUUUGAAACUGUUUUUCUUGAGUACUGGGGAGGCAGACGGAAUGCCUAGUGUAGCGGUGAAAUGCGUAGAUAUUAGGAGGAACACCAGUGGCGAAGGCGGUCUGCUGGACAGCAACUGACGCUGAGGCGCGAAAGCGUGGGGAGCAAACAGGAUUAGAUACCCGUGUAGUC